UGGGCCUUGAUUGCUUCAUGCCAUCUGCCACUGUGAAGUUGGAGCAGCUGAAUUAAUUUGUCAGCCUUUUACCUGCACUCUUGCUUUUGUUGGUUGAAGAGGAGAUUUUUGGCCGAGACUUUAAAAGCAUUGUGCUUUUACUUCUGUCAGCCUUCUCUCCACUUCACGGGUUUCAAUCUUGUGCAUUCUCCCACCCAAUUUUAACAGAUUUUUGGCUCUUUCUUGGAACGCUGUC
rnacentral:lncRNA from 1 species